rnacentral:misc_RNA from 1 species
UAAACCCCCUCACAUACCAUGUGGUAUUGGCAGAAGUGGAUGGGUAUUAUAUCCAAGUAUCACUAUGCCGAAAUGUAUUGCGUGAAAAACUGAUUCUGGCAACUGACUUUGUAAGCGUCAUUGAGGGCGGUAACCAGUCAGGAGUCGGUAGAGUUGCGUAUACCUGGACCCCCAUUCAGUGAAAACCUCUGGG